rnacentral:rRNA from 1 species
AUUUAUUUUUAUUUGUGAAGAAACAAUAAUUAAAAUUAAGGACAAGAAGACCCUAAGAAUUUUUAAUUUUGUAUAUAUAAAUAUAUAUAUACAAAAUUUUAAUUGGGGCGAUUAAAAAAUAUAGUUAACUUUUAAUUUUAAAAAAUGAUCCAUUAUUAGUGAUUUAAUGUAAAAAAUACUCUAGGGAUAACAGCGUAAUAAUUUUAGAUAGAUCUUAUAGAAAAAAUAGUUUGCGACCUCGAUGUUGGAUUAGGAUUCUUUUUUAAUGAAGAAGUUAAAAUAAGAAGUUUGUUCAACUUUUAAAAUCCGACUUGAUCUGAGU